rnacentral:rRNA from 1 species
UACGAAGGGGGCUAGCGUUGCUCGGAUUGACUGGGCGUAAAGGGCGCGUAGGCGGUUCGUACAGUCAGACGUGAAAUUCCUGGGCUCAACCUGGGGGCUGCGUUUGAUACGUGCGGACUUGAGUGCGGAAGAGGGUCGUGGAAUUCCGAGUGUAGAGGUGAAAUUCGUAGAUAUUCGGAAGAACACCAGUGGCGAAGGCGACUCACUGGACACGUAUUGACGCUGAGGUGCGAAAGCGUGGGGAGCAAACAGG